rnacentral:rRNA from 1 species
AUUGAACGCUGGCGGCAGGCCUAACACAUGCAAGUCGAGCGGAGCGGCGGACGGGCGGGUAAUUCCUAGGUAUCUGCCCGGCCGUGGGGGAUGACGUCCGGAAACGGGCCGUAAUCUCGCACCUUUUCAGAUGAGCCUUGGCCGGAUUAGCUAGUUGGUUGGGUAAAGGCCUACCAAGGCGACGAUCCGUAACUGGGCUGAGAGGAUGAUCAGUCACACUGGAACUGAGAAACGGUCCAGACUCCUACGGGAGGCAGCAGUGGGGAAUAUGGGACAAGGGGCGAAAGCCUGAUGCAGCCAUGCCGCGUGUGUGAAGAAGGUCGUCGGGUUGUAAAGCACUUUAAGUGGGGAGGCGUUACCAGCAGAAGAAGCACCGGCUAACUUCGUGCCAGCAGCCGCGGUAAUUC